CGAACGAUGAUGCCCACUUGUGGGUGGAUUAGUGGCGAACGGGUGAGUAACACGUGAGUAACCUGCCCUUGACUCUGGGAUAAGCCUGGGAAACUGGGUCUAAUACCGGAUAUGACCUUCCAUCGCAUGGUGGUUGGUGGAAAGCUUUUGUGGUUUUGGAUGGACUCGCGGCCUAUCAGCUUGUUGGUGAGGUAAUGGCUUACCAAGGCGACGACGGGUAGCCGGCCUGAGAGGGUGACCGGCCACACUGGGACUGAGACACGGCCCAGACUCCUACGGGAGGCAGCAGUGGGGAAUAUUGCACAAUGGGCGCAAGCCUGAUGCAGCGACGCCGCGUGAGGGAUGACGGCCUUCGGGUUGUAAACCUCUUUCAGUAGGGAAGAAGCGAAAGUGACGGUACCUGCAGAAGAAGCGCCGGCUAACUACGUGCCAGCAGCCGCGGUAAUACGUAGGGCGCAAGCGUUAUCCGGAAUUAUUGGGCGUAAAGAGCUCGUAGGCGGUUUGUCGCGUCUGCCGUGAAAGUCCGGGGCUCAACUCCGGAUCUGCGGUGGGUACGGGCAGACUAGAGUGAUGUAGGGGAGACUGGAAUUCCUGGUGUAGCGGUGAAAUGCGCAGAUAUCAGGAGGAACACCGAUGGCGAAGGCAGGUCUCUGGGGCAUUAACUGACGCUGAGGAGCGAAAGCAUGGGGGAGCGAAACAGGAUUAGAUACCCCUGGUAGUCCAUGCCCGUAAACGUUUGGGCACUAGUGUGGGGGGGACAUUUCCCACGUUUUUCCCGCGACCGUAGCUAACGCAUUAAGUGCCCCGCCUGGGGAGUACGGCCGCAAGGCUAAAACUCAAAGGAAUUGACGGGGGCCCG
rnacentral:rRNA from 1 species